rnacentral:lncRNA from 1 species
GCAGCUGGGUGUGAGUCCGCGGAGCUGAGAGCCUUGCCCUCUGCUCCAUCCUCCUCUUUUGGGGGUCUCCGCGGUGUCAGGACUUGGAGAGCCUGGUCGUGGGACUUGAUCAGAGAGGCCUUGAGUGCAGUGGGUGCUUAUCUGGUGACUGUGGCCCUGAGGUCUGGGACAGACACUGCCAGUCUUUCUGGGCCACACCCACGGGGACUGCCAGCCCCCCUGGGCUUGGCACAGUGGAGGGGAGCCUCCACCACAGUGGAGGAGAGACACACCCAAGGCCCUGGAUGUGCCCGGCUCUCUGCAGCUGUGGGUGCCUCAGGCCGGCCGCCGAUGGGUCUCAGUUUCUGAGGGGGUGGCAGUGAAGUUGCAGAGAAGAAACCUAUGAAGGUGCCCUGUCAACUGCCACACGCCGAGAUGCACAUUGACAGCCCAUCACCGCCUCUUGCCUGUCCUCCCCGGGGACCGGCAGAUCAUGGGAGAUGAUUUGUCAAGGGGAGACACAUUUGGGUGACACCAAGCCGAGCUUCCUGUCUUGAGACGCUUUCUGCUUUCUCAUCUUCCUGCUAAUGAGUUGCCUUUUGUGUGUAUCCCACUUCCUGUCCCACCCAGCCCCAAAUGUCCGUGGAACCGGCCCCACUAACCUGCAUCCAGCUGCCUCUUCCACCUGGGCCCUGCUCUCAGAUGGAAGUGUCACCAAACACCCAGAUCGCCGUGCUCCUGCUUCUCUGGGUUCAAUGAGACCCUCCACCCAGAUGAGCAUGAGCCCAGCCAGGGUGGGCUGUUCAGUUUCUUCCCUGGGAAUCUGGAGCUGGAUUGAGCUGGUCUGCAGCCUGGUCUGAGAGCCCAGCAGGCUCGAGACACUGCAACCUGGCCUGGCCGUGGGCAGGCAGGGAGUGGAGGUUGCGGCAUCGUCUGGGCAGAGGAGCUGGGGCGUUUGCCAGAAGUCUCCAACGGGCCAUCUGGUCCCAGAGAGCAGAGCACACAGCCUCAAGAAAUACGAGAAAGGCGGCAGGGGCAGGUGAGCUACAAAGAGGGCUCCCCUGGGCAGUUUCAUUUUUAGGGGAUUGUUUCAUAUAUCUUCGGACCUUCAGGGUUUUAAUAUGUUUGAAGCUGUGCAGUGAAGCCCAAGGUCCUCUAUGUGACCUUGCAACCCCUCUGGGCCUUGGCCAGCUGCCGCUCUGCCCCUUGCCUGCCCUCCAGACUCUGGUAAACAUCAGCAAACCUGGAUGGAGAGGAACCGUGGAUGAGGAU